rnacentral:lncRNA from 1 species
UAACUUUUGGGAAGGUCUAACAUGUAUGCAUUGUCAUUUAUUUUCUUGACCACCUUGAAAGGACUAUCACCUUGUGCUUUCCUAUUCUCUUCUUGAAACCACUCAGAAAAGUUUUUCAAAACAGUUUUUCCAUCAACAAUAUGAGUUGGCUCAAAAGGACCAUUCAAAGUAGCAUCCUAAAUUCCUCUAUCCAUGGAUUCAAGAAAGAUUUGCAUUCUUAUUUUUCAAAAAGCAUAAUUUUCACCC